rnacentral:lncRNA from 1 species
CCCGGCCCAGCCCGUUCCUGGAGAUUCCCGUUCUCCGCCCGGGCCUCCGGGCCCCGUCCUCGGAGAUUCCUGCCCCGCUUCGGGCCCGUCCCCGUGAGAGCUCAAUCGCUUCUAAUAAAGCAGUAUUGAGAAACAUAAUUGAUGGGAGACUUAUACAAGGUUUGCUUCCUGAUUUCAUAAUUGAUAAAGCUGAGACGGUGAAACCUAACUGUUGAAGGGUGGAAGGUGUGAACCUGCUCAAGCAGGUACA